rnacentral:rRNA from 1 species
GCGGCGGCUUACCAUGCUAGUCGAGCGGGGAGAGGUAGCUUGCUACUGGACCUAGCGGCGGACGGGUGAGUAAUGCUUAGGAAUCUGCCUAUUAGUGGGGGACAACAUUCCGAAAGGAAUGCUAAUACCGCAUACGUCCUACGGGAGAAAGCAGGGGACCUUCGGGCCUUGCGCUAAUAGAUGAGCCUAAGUCGGAUUAGCUAGUUGGUGGGGUAAAGGCCUACCAAGGCGACGAUCUGUAGCGGGUCUGAGAGGAUGAUCCGCCACACUGGGACUGAGACACGGCCCAGACUCCUACGGGAGGCAGCAGUGGGGAAUAUUGGACAAUGGGGGGAACCCUGAUCCAGCCAUGCCGCGUGUGUGAAGAAGGCCUUAUGGUUGUAAAGCACUUUAAGCGAGGAGGAGGCUACUAGUAUUAAUACUACUGGAUAGUGGACGUUACUCGCAGAAUAAGCACCGGCUAACUCUGUGCCAGCAGCCGCGGUAAUACAGAGGGUGCGAGCGUUAAUCGGAUUUACUGGGCGUAAAGCGUGCGUAGGCGGCCAUUUAAGUCAAAUGUGAAAUCCCCGAGCUUAACUUGGGAAUUGCAUUCCAUACUGGAUGGCUAGAGUAUGGGAGAGGAUGGUAGAAUUCCAGGUGUAGCGGUGAAAUGCGUAGAGAUCUGGAGGAAUACCGAUGGCGAAGGCAGCCAUCUGGCCUAAUACUGACGCUGAGGUACGAAAGCAUGGGGAGCAAACAGGAUUAGAUACCCUGGUAGUCCAUGCCGUAAACGAUGUCUACUAGCCGUUGGGGCCUUUGAGGCUUUAGUGGCGCACCUAACGCGAUAAAUACACCGCCCUGGGGAAGUACGGUCCCCAAGACUUAAAACUCCAAAUGAAUUUGACGGGGGGCCCGACAAAAAGCCGGGGGAAGCAUUGUGGUUUUAAUUUCGAUUGCCACCGCAAAAGAACCUUCCCCUGGGCCUUUGAAAAUACUAGAAAACUUUUCCCAAAAAAUGGAAUUGGGGGCCUUUCCGGGAAAUCCUAAAUACCAGGGUGCU